rnacentral:rRNA from 1 species
UACAGAGGGUGCAAGCGUUGUUCGGAAUUAUUGGGCGUAAAGGGAGUGUAGGCGGUUUCCUAAGUCUUCUGUGAAAUCUACGGGCUUAGCCUGUAACGUGCAGAGGAAACUGGGAGACUUGAGUGUCGGAGAGGGUAGUGGAAUUCCAGGUGUAGUGGUGAAAUACGUAGAUAUCUGGAGGAACACCGGUGGCGAAGGCGGCUACCUGGCCCAACAUUGACACUGAGACCCGAAAGCGUGGGGAUCAAACAGG